rnacentral:rRNA from 1 species
GGUAGCCGGCCUGAGAGGGCGACCGGCCACACUGGGACUGAGACACGGCCCAGACUCCUACGGGAGGCAGCAGUGGGGAAUAUUGCACAAUGGGCGAAAGCCUGAUGCAGCGACGCCGCGUGAGGGAUGACGGCCUUCGGGUUGUAAACCUCUUUCAGCAGGGAAGAAGCGAAAGUGACGGUACCUGCAGAAGAAGCGCCGGCUAACUACGUGCCAGCAGCCGCGGUAAUACGUAGGGCGCAAGCGUUGUCCGGAAUUAUUGGGCGUAAAGAGCUCGUAGGCGGCUUGUCACGUCGGAUGUGAAAGCCCGGGGCUUAACCCCGGGUCUGCAUUCGAUACGGGCUAGCUAGAGUGUGGUAGGGGAGAUCGGAAUUCCUGGUGUAGCGGUGAAAUGCGCAGAUAUCAGGAGGAACACCGGUGGCGAAGGCGGAUCUCUGGGCCAUUACUGACGCUGAGGAGCGAAAGCGUGGGGAGCGAACAGGAUUAGAUACCCUGGUAGUCCACGCCGUAAACGUUGGGAACUAGGUGUUGGCGACAUUCCACGUCGUCGGUGCCGCAGCUAACGCAUUAAGUUCCCCGCCUGGGGAAGUACGGA